ACCAACGUAUAUAAAUACCCAACGAUCCCGUUCCUUUCCUUCGUCCUCGCAUCAUCUCCAUGGCGGUCGCUGGGAUGCGAAUUGUGAUCGCUAGGGUUUCAAUCUAGUUUUCCAUCGUGAUCACUGGGGUUUCGACCUACGGUUCUUCUUUGUUGUUUGAUCGUUGUUGUUUGUGAUCGUUGAUGAGUUAUUUGAAGGAUCUCGCAUGGCAGAGUUUGGGAUGUUCUAAGCCCUAUCUUCUCGCUGAUCGCUAGGGUAAUACCGUUCAUCGCUAGAAUUUCGACAUAUGAUUCGUCAACUUUGUUGUUUGAUCGUUGUUAUCGGUGAUCGUUUAUGAGUUAUUGUUGUUUGUGAUCGUUGAUGAGUUUCUUGAAGGGUCUCGCAUGGCGGAGUUUGGGAUCAUCUAGGCCCUAUCGUCUCCAUGGCGACCGCCAGGGUAAUAUCGUUCAUCGCUAGAAUUUCGACAUAUGAUUCUUCAUCGUUGCUGUUUGAUCGUUGUUAUUGAUGAUUGUUUACGAGCCGUUGUUGUUUGUGAUCGUUGAUGAGUUUCUUGAAGAGUCUCGCAUGGCGGAGUUUGGGAUCUUCUAGGCCGUAUCGUCUUCAUGGCGACCGCCUGGGUAAUAUCGUUUGUCGCUAGAAUUUCGACAUAUGAUUCUUUUGUUGUUUGAUCGUUGUUAUUAGUGAUCAUUCAUGAGUCGUUGUUGUUUGUGAUCGUUGAUGAGUUUCUUGAAGGAUCUCACAUGGUGGAGUUUGGGAUCUUCUGGGCCCUAUUGUCUCCAUGGCCAUCGCCAGGGUAAUAUCGUUUGUCGCUAGAAUUUCGGCAUAUGAUUCUUUGUCCUUGUUGUUUGAUGGUUGUUAUUGUUGAUCAGUUAUGAGUUGUUUGAAGGAUCUCACAUAACCACGCUUGAUAUCUUCGACACCCUAUCAUCUACAUGGUGUUCGUUAUGGUAAUAUCGUGAUCGUAAGAGUUUUGAUGUAGGAUUCUUUUGUGGUUGUUAGAUCGUGUUGUUUUCUGUGAUUGUUUAUUAGGUUUUUUUUUAGGGAUUUGUGUGGUCAGGACUGGGAUCUGGCGUGAUCGUUUUAUUUGAGCUUAAUGCUGUGCUGUUAGUUCUCAUACGUGGUUCUCUAAUGGUAUGUACGAAAUUGUUAGCCUGUUUGAUUUGAUGUCCGUGUCAGGUUUAUUGAUUAUGAAGUGGAGUGAUUCAGAUUUGAUCUGAUGCUCGUUCAAUAGCAGAGGAAUUUAUCAAAUUUGGAGUUGUUUUAUGUUUUUGGAUUCAGUCUUUUGUGGUUUUACUUGAGAUUUUGGUGCAACUUGCCAUGGCCAGUGUUUUGGGUCUGGAUUUGAGAGUUGUUCUGUUGGUUUUGUUAUGAGGUUUCCAUUAAUCUGGUUUAUUAUUUAUAUUCAGUUUCGGUGGAUUUUUUAUUCUUGUUUGUAGCAGAUGAAUUUGAUGGAUUCGUGGAUUGUGUCUUUUGGUUUGGUCUUUUGUUGGUUUUACUUGAGAUUUGGUUCAAUUUGCUAUCAAUGGGUGUUUUUCGAUGUUACGAUUGAGAGGAUUCUUCUAUUAGCUUUACAAAGAGAUGAAUUUGAUGGAUUCAUGGAUUGCGUCUUUUGGUUCAGUCUUUUGUUGGUUUUACUUGAGAUUUGGUUCAAUUUGCCAUCAAUGGGUGUUUCCGAUGUUACGAUUGAGAGAAUUCUUCUAUUAGCUUUUGUUCUUUUUCUUUUUUUUUUCUUUUUUUUUUUUUUUUUUGAGAGAUAGGUAGCACGCUACCGCUUCAUUUAUUUCAUUUAGAAAUAAACUUAGCUGAAAAUGUGAAUCAACUAGGAUUCGAACUUGGGUCUCGGGUACCAACCACCAAGUCCUUUGCCACUUGCUUUUGUUCUUUUUCUGAUAUCUACUUUAUGCGAUCAUCAUGUACUGUUGGAUAUUAAAUUUCGGCCUGUUGAUUAUUGUUGAUAUCAAGUUUUUUUUUGUUCCUCUUCUUGUCUAGAGUGAUCUAAUGAUCUCAAAAGAACAGGGGAAGUGGCAGAGUAUAGUGAUAAGUGACUGUUAGAGGUGAUUGAAGAGAUGAGUGGUAGGGAUCAACACUUACCAUAGCAGGCUAGCCCAUGCAGGACCAUUGGGACUUGGAUGCCUUGCAAUAUUGUUGAUAUAACCUCUAUCACAAAUGAAUUUCUACUUUAACAGUUGGAUGCUUUGCAAAAAAAAUCAAUUUCUAUUUUAACACUUGGAUCUGUGCACAUUCAUAAACUUUACUCCUCGAGUUUGUAGUUCUUCUGUAGAGCU
rnacentral:lncRNA from 1 species